rnacentral:lncRNA from 1 species
CAAGGCUGGGGAGGGAAACACGUUGGAGCUAGAAAAGUGAGAGUGCCUGCUGGAACCACACGGACGAUCCUGCCAGAGGCUUAAAAUUGUCUUGGGCUCAGCCCUGCUACACUCUCUCAAGUACUCACAUCCGGAGCAUAUCACCCAUUUCACCACAAAGCCAACACUUCUUCAGAAAGGCCCUCCUGUUAUUGACUUAGACAAAAAUGACACAGGUAUGUGGCAUCAUGGGGAGUAGGUGGGAUAGCAAGACAUAGCCCGUCUGGUAUCUGCAAUCUGCCAAUAACCUUGAUUGUUUGCUUUGGGAUAGCCCUUGCUCUUGGAUGACUUCCUGUGGUCUCCUUGAGAACCUCUCUGGAGUUCCUCUGUGGACUUGGAAUGCAUGGAUUUUAUCUUUGUAGUAGUCUUCCUGCUUAUCUUGGGCUGUGUGUGUGUGUGUGUGUGUGUGUGUGUGUGUAUACACAUGUAU